rnacentral:rRNA from 1 species
GAUGAACGCUGGCGGCGUGCUUAACACAUGCAAGUCGAACGAAGAUGCCGGAGUGCUUGCACUUUGGCAGACUGAGUGGCGGACGGGUGAGUAACGCGUGGGUAACCUGCCUUAUACAGGGGGAUAACAGUUGGAAACGACUGCUAAUACCGCAUAAGCGCACGGUAUCGCAUGAUACAGUGUGAAAAACUCCGGUGGUAUAAGAUGGACCCGCGUCUGAUUAGCUUGUUGGUGAGGUAACGGCCCACCAAGACUGCGAUCGGUAGCCGGACUGAGAGGUUGAACGGCCACAUUGGGACUGAGACACGGCCCAGACUCCUACGGGAGGCAGCAGUGGGGAAUAUUGCACAAUGGGGGAAACCCUGAUGCAGCGACGCCGCGUGGAGGAAGAAGGUCCUCUGGAUUGGUAAACCUCUGUCUUCGGGGACGAAACGAGACGGUACCUGAGGAGGGAGCCACGGCUAACUACGUG